CUAUUACAGCUUAAGCAAAAGAUUGCUUCAGCCACCUCAGCCAUCAAAUCUGUUUUUGGCCAAGAACAGCCCAAGCAGGAUGCGACUGACAAACUGGAGCGACUAAGGGAGAGGAUGAUCAAAGUGCAGGAGAUUUUUCGGGACAUUGAUUCAACAGAAUUUGUUAUUGUAACAAUUCCCACGAGCAAGACAUCAACUGUUUGUGAGCUCAUUUGGUUCUCAGUACAAGGCUUGACGUUUGAAGUUGUCUUGUGAUUAUCAACUGAUCUGUUGGAUUUACUUUCUGUGGAGCACAUUUGAUGUUUGAAGUCGUCUUAUGAUUGUGAAGAAUUUACAAGCAUGGUGAAAGUGGGAAAGGUUGUGAUGGCAGAAGUACAGCUCCUCCAUGCACUGGGUACAAAAGGUCUUAACUUCAGCCCGAAUUUGUGAUCAUCAAGUGUUUGUUUUCUGAUUUAUGCUGGUGUGAUAUUCUGUGUUUGAAGUUUAAGUCAUAAAGGGUCUUGCCGAUCAUGACCUUAUUGUUAUGGAAUUCCCUCUGUCCAUUAUAGAGGCCAGCAAGGAGACUACUAUAUCUUAGUCAUGGACAUGCUUGGCCCAAGUUUAUGGGAUCUUUGGAACACUAAUAACCAAAUGUUGUCUGAAGAUACAGUUGCUUGUAUAGCAGUGGAGGCUAUAUCAAUUAUAGAACAACUUCAUUUCAAAGG